ACGAACGCUGGCGGCGUGCUUAACACAUGCCAGUCGAACGGAAAGGCCCUGCUUUUGUGGGGUGCUCGAGUGGCGAACGGGUGAGUAACACGUGAGUAACCUGCCCUUGACUUUGGGAUAACUUCAGGAAACUGGGGCUAAUACCGGAUAGGAGCUCCUGCUGCCUGGUGGGGGUUGGAAAGUUUCGGCGGUUGGGGCUGGACUCGCGGCUUAUCAGCUUGUUGGUGGGGUAGUGGCUUACCAAGGCUUUGACGGGUAGCCGGCCUGAGAGGGUGACCGGCCACAUUGGGACUGAGAUACGGCCCAGACUCCUACGGGAGGCAGCAGUGGGGAAUAUUGCACAAUGGGCGGAAGCCUGAUGCAGCAACGCCGCGUGCGGGAUGACGGCCUUCGGGUUGUAAACCGCUUUCGCCUGUGACGAAGCGUGAGUGACGGUAAUGGGUAAAGAAGCACCGGCUAACUACGUG
rnacentral:rRNA from 1 species